AGUGAACGCUGGCGGUAGGCCUAACACAUGCAAGUCGAACGGCAGCACAGAGGAGCUUGCUCCUUGGGUGGCGAGUGGCGGACGGGUGAGGAAUACAUCGGAAUCUACUCUGUCGUGGGGGAUAACGUAGGGAAACUUACGCUAAUACCGCAUACGACCUACGGGUGAAAGCAGGGGAUCUUCGGACCUUGCGCGAUUGAAUGAGCCGAUGUCGGAUUAGCUAGUUGGCGGGGUAAAGGCCCACCAAGGCGACGAUCCGUGGCUGGUCUGAGAGGAGGAUCAGCCACACUGGAACUAAGACACGGUCCAGACUCCUACGGGAGGCAGCAGUGGUGAAUAUUGGACAAGGGGCGCAAGCCUGAUCCAGCCAUACCGCGUGGGUGAAGAAGGCCUUCGGGUUGUAAAGCCCUUUUGUUGGGAAAGAAAUCCAUCUGGUUAAUACCCGGGUGGGAUGACGGUACCCAAAGAAUAAGCACCGGCUAACUUCGUGCCAGCCGCCGCCGUAA
rnacentral:rRNA from 1 species